ACGAUCAAUAAAACAUACGCCCGG
rnacentral:piRNA from 2 species